rnacentral:lncRNA from 1 species
AUGGAAAAGAACCAGGGAUGGAGCAGAACCAGGGAGGGGAGCAGUACCCAGGGAUGGGGGAGGUACCCAGGGACAGGAGCACGACCCCGGGACGGGAGCACAGCCCCGGGAUGGAGCCAUGCCCAGGGAUGGGCCCAUGACUCAGAGGCAGCGCAGGCGUCGCUGCAGCCCCAGCCCUUCUGCUCCCCUCGGCUGCAGCACGGGCUGAGGUUCCCGGGCACCAGCAGCCAAAACAUCCCGGGGCGGUGGCUCCCCUCGAAGCCCCCUCCUCACCCCCAGCCCCACCGGACCCCUGGCGAUGCUGGUGCCCCCUAUUUGGGGCUCACCCCACAGCGGGGCCGAGGCGGUUCCUCGAGCGAGCGAGCGCCGGCCAGGCGCAUGCCGUGCGCGCCGGAGGGGACGUCACCGGGGCCGGAUCCUCGCCCUGCUUCCUCGAAGGAGCCGGCUGCUGCGUGCCAGGGUGACGCUGGCGGCUCGGGGCUGACCUGGUUUCUCUCCUCCAGCCCUUCCUCGCUCGCUCGCAUCCCUCUGGCCGGCCUGGCCCCGGUGCAGAGCGCCGAGAGCGCGCCGACGGCUUCCUGUGUGGGCGGAGGAAUUUGGCACCCGGCCGCCGGGGAUGGUAGCCGGCCGACGCGCAACGCCCGGCCCUGCGGCCCACCCGGCACCGGGGCAGCGGCUGCAGCACAGCGGAGAGGGGGCCUGGGGCCCCGUCCCCCCAUCGGGAUGGGGACAUCGGAGUGGGGACGGAGGCGGCAGGAGGUGGCCUGCGUGGGGCGUGCGGUGUGCGCAGCCCUGGGCGUGCACGUGUGUGGCACGGGUGUGGGGCUGGUGCUGCCUGGCACGCUCGUGUGCACGCACGGGGGUUGUGUGUGUGUGGGGGGCUGCAUGGGGGCUGCAUGUGCAGGGGUUGCAUGCAUGGGGUGCAUGUGCAAGGCUUGCAUGUGCAAGGUUUGCACACAUAGGGGUUACGUGUGCAGGGGUUGCAUGCGCAGGGGUUGCAUGAACAUGGUUUGCUCACAGAAGGGGUUGCACGCACAGGGGCUGCACACACAGGGGCUGCACACACAGGGGUUGCACGCACAGGGGUUGCAUGCACAAGGGUUGCGUGUGCAAGAGUUGCACACGCAGGGGCUGCACGUGCAGGGGUUGGAGGUGCAAGGAUUGCUCACACAGCGGUUGCGUGCGCAGGGUUUGCAUGUGCAGGGGUUGGAUGCUCAGGAGCUGAAGGUGGCACUUGACCCCCAGGGAAGCCCCAGCACUUCGCCAGCACCCCGGGAGCUGCUUCCCUCCACUCAGCCCAACUGA